CAGCAGCCGCGGGAAUACAGAGGGUGCGAGCGUUAAUCGGAUUUACUGGGCGUAAAGCGUGCGUAGGCGGCUUUUUAAGUUGGAUGUGAAAUCCCUGAGCUUAACUUAGGAAUUGCAUUCGAUACUGGGAAGCUAGAGUAUGGGAGAGGAUGGUAGAAUUCCAGGUGUAGCGGUGAAAUGCGUAGAGAUCUGGAGGAAUACCGAUGGCGAAGGCAGCCAUCUGGCCUAAUACUGACGCUGAGGUACGAAAGCAUGGGGAGCAAACAGGAUUAGAUACCCCAGUAGUCCCUGUCUCUUAUAC
rnacentral:rRNA from 1 species